rnacentral:sRNA from 1 species
UUCAGUUUGAACCGAACGUUUUUCCAUUCCGACCGGUGCUGUUAAACUCGCCUCUGUGAGGAGGUACUGCUAGAGCGUUCCUAGGAGUGGUACUGUUAAGCUUUCCAGAGGAAGAUGAGGUUUCUUUGGAGGCAACAUUGGAGAGAAAUAAAAAUGAUGCUGGAGCUUAGACUUACUAGGAAUUCUUAGUUCUCUUAUGUCAUUUUGAAGAACCUUGUUAUGUUUUAAGUUUCAAAUUUUGGACAUAUUUUAGAAUACUCUAGUGCUUGAAGUUUUAAUUUUUUAGUAAAUUCUGGAAGACUG